rnacentral:rRNA from 1 species
AGGACGGGGCGGCAUGCCUAUACAUGCAGUCGAACGAGCUUCCGUUGAAUGACGUGCUUGCACUGAUUUCAACAAUGAAGCGAGUGGCGAACUGGUGAGUAACACGUGGGAAAUCUGCCCAGAAGCAGGGGAUAACACUUGGAAACAGGUGCUAAUACCGUAUAACAACAAAAUCCGCAUGGAUUUUGUUUGAAAGGUGGCUUCGGCUAUCACUUCUGGAUGAUCCCGCGGCGUAUUAGUUAGUUGGUGAGGUAAAGGCCCACCAAGACGAUGAUACGUAGCCGACCUGAGAGGGUAAUCGGCCACAUUGGGACUGAGACACGGCCCAAACUCCUACGGGAGGCAGCAGUAGGGAAUCUUCCACAAUGGACGAAAGUCUGAUGGAGCAAUGCCGCGUGAGUGAAGAAGGGUUUCGGCUCGUAAAACUCUGUUGUUAAAGAAGAACACCUUUGAGAGUAACUGUUCAAGGGUUGACGGUAUUUAACCAGAAAGCCACGGCUAACUACGUGCCAGCAGCCGCGGUAAUACGUAGGUGGCAAGCGUUGUCCGGAUUUAUUGGGCGUAAAGCGAGCGCAGGCGGUUUUUUAAGUCUGAUGUGAAAGCCUUCGGCUUAACCGGAGAAGUGCAUCGGAAACUGGGAGACUUGAGUGCAGAAGAGGACAGUGGAACUCCAUGUGUAGCGGUGGAAUGCGUAGAUAUAUGGAAGAACACCAGUGGCGAAGGCGGCUGUCUAGUCUGUAACUGACGCUGAGGCUCGAAAGCAUGGGUAGCGAACAGGAUUAGAUACCCUGGUAGUCCAUGCCGUAAACGAUGAGUGCUAAGUGUUGGAGGGUUUCCGCCCUUCAGUGCUGCAGCUAACGCAUUAAGCACUCCGCCUGGGGAGUAC